CGAGUGCUUUAUGGCUGAGAGCUGGUGGAGGAAGCAAGUGAGGUGGGAGAGAUGAAGAAACUGAGGCACGGGGGAGAGACCGGUUGCAGCAUUUCCAGCAAGUUCCUGUGAGCAGUGCUUAGGUUUUCUCAUUCCUAACCUCCUGCCCUUUCAUUGGGUUUUGGGCAUUAGCUAAUGAAUUUAAAUGAAACAAUUGCUGUCUCUUCCAAGAGCCGCACAGAGGAACCUGGGGAGGUGACGAGCAGAUCGUUAAUUAAAUGUGCACAUGUGGCCAAGUGGGAAAUUGGCGGCAAAAACACCAGAGAGGCAGGCGCAUGAUACCCAGAUGAGGAAACGGAGGCUCAGAGGAGUACAGUAACUUUCUGAAGGUCACCCGGCAGAUUUCCAAUCAUUGAACUCAAGAACCACAUGUUCAUUACCUUGAUAACACUGAUCAUUG